UGAAAAGCUUCCGGCAAACGUACGUCGCUAACAAUGCUCACACGCAUUCUCGUGCGGCAAAUUGAGGAGGAGGAGGAACCAGAUUUUUUUUUUUCUUGAAAUCGUACAUCAAACGGAGAGCACAAGAAACCCGCGUCGUCGUUUGGGAGGAAAAGUCUGAGCGGCUAACUUACAAAUAAACACAAUCCCCCAAAAAAGUACAGAAAUUGAUUCUCGGGCCUCGGUUUCAAAAGGACAAGCAAAUCAAUUGUGGAGUUUUUGCGCAGUAUAGCAAAGCUAAUUUCCACAAUCCAUGCUGUAGAGCUCCCCCUACAGUUCAGGGGGAGUUAUUGUCAUGUCGUAUUGAAGGAUCCAAAUAUGCUCAAUGAGUUGAUGAAUGCAAAAUGCAACGAAGCAUCCCUUGAUGUAGGUUGUUUUUUUCCCACCCCGAAUGCCCCUUUGAGUCCGUAAUAGGAUCUUUCAACUCAGCGAGUACCUUGUUUUUUUUUUUUUUUAUUUCCCGUUUCAGUGGAACUAACAGGGAGGGUGAUUGUCUUUUUGUGUGUGUGUGUGUGUGUGUGUGUAUUUUUUUUCACGUGUUUUAUUUGAGCUUUGCAGUUUUGCAGCCAAGGACAAGUGAGCUAUUUUUCAUCGCGCGGGGCCAGCCGGGCCACACUUUAAAGGCACCUUUGUCAAGUGUUACCUCUUUGAACCCCGAAUCAAUGAAACUUUAGCCUCCCUCUCGAUCCUGAUGAUGACACUUGCAAGGCUUUUUUGAUUUAUCUUCUCUGUGUGUGUGUGUGUGUGUGUGUGUGUGUGUGUUAAAAAGACUCAUGGAUAAAAUGAAACAUUGAAAAGCCUUUUGCGAGCCUUCGCCUUGUGCCAGGAGACAGCGACAAUGGCGCGCAUCCAGGUGUCGUACAUGUUUUAUGAAUGCCGGGGCCCCAAAUAUU